rnacentral:rRNA from 1 species
CUUGGUCAUUUAGAGGAAGUAAAAGUCGUAACAAGGUCUCCGUUGGUGAACCAGCGGAGGGAUCAUUACCAGAGUGCCCUAGGCUCUCCAACCCAUUGUGAACAUACCUAUCGUUCCCUCGGCGGCUCAGCGCGCGGUGCCUCCGGGCUCCAGGCGUCCGCCGGGGACAACCAAACCCUGAUUUUAUCGUGUAUUUCUGAGGGGCGAAAGCCCGAAAACAAAAUAAAUCAAAACUUUCAACAACGGAUCUCUCGGCUCUGGCAUCGAUGAAGAACGCAGC